rnacentral:rRNA from 1 species
UGACCGCUGGCGGCAGGCCUAACACAUGCAAGUCGAACGGUAACAGGAAGAAGCUUGCUUCUUUGCUGACGAGUGGCGGACGGGUGAGUAAUGUCUGGGAAACUGCCUGAUGGAGGGGGAUAACUACUGGAAACGGUAGCUAAUACCGCAUAACGUCGCAAGACCAAAGAGGGGGACCUUCGGGCCUCUUGCCAUCGGAUGUGCCCAGAUGGGAUUAGCUAGUAGGUGGGGUAACGGCUCACCUAGGCGACGAUCCCUAGCUGGUCUGAGAGGAUGACCAGCCACACUGGAACUGAGACACGGUCCAGACUCCUACGGGAGGCAGCAGUGGGGAAUAUUGCACAAUGGGCGCAAGCCUGAUGCAGCCAUGCCGCGUGUAUGAAGAAGGCCUUCGGGUUGUAAAGUACUUUCAGCGGGGAGGAAGGGAGUAAAGUUAAUACCUUUGCUCAUUGACGUUACCCGCAGAAGAAGCACCGGCUAACUCCGUG